UACGAAGGGGGCUAGCGUUGCUCGGAAUUACUGGGCGUAAAGGGCGCGUAGGCGGCACUGUUAGUCAGGCGUGAAAGUCCUGGGCUCAACCUGGGAACUGCGCUUGAUACGGCAGAGCUAGGGGAUGGAAGAGGGUCGCGGAAUUCCCAGUGUAGAGGUGAAAUUCGUAGAUAUUGGGAAGAACACCGGUGGCGAAGGCGGCGUCCUGGACCAACACUGACACUGAUGAGCGAAAGCCAGGGGAGCAAACGGG
rnacentral:rRNA from 1 species